ensembl:lncRNA
CCGGGCCGCCGCAGCAGAGCGCGAGAACUUGACCACUCAGCCACGGGGCCGGCCCCCCGUUUCCUUCAUUUCUGAUCACACGCAACAGCUGCUCUUCUACAGCACCUGAAGACUGAGAUUCAGAGAGGUCAAGCAACUCACCAUAAGUCAUACAGCUAGGAAGGGAGCCGAACCUAGAUUUGAACCUGGAUCUGUGUAACUCCAGAGCCUGAAUGCUUAACUACUAUACAAACUGCAAUCCAUGUGGCUUCGUGAAUCCAUUCUUUCCACAAACAGCAUUCCAGGAAUGUUCAUUGAGUGCUUACUAUGAACCAGGCAUUGUACAAGGCGAUGAGAUUCAACAGUGGAAAAGCAAAGUCCCUCCCCUUAGAGGCAUAGUCUGGUGGGAAACAGACAUCAGUCACAGAAAUCUCACACACGUUAUAAUUACAGACCCUCCCAGAUGCUCUGCAGGGAAAGUGCUGCAGCGACAGAGGCAUUGGACGGCAGGACCUGGACUUGCAUGGGAGUCAGAGGGGAUCCUGCCAGGAAGCAGUCUCUUGUAAAGGCUCCUUCAGGCAGUGUUUUAGAAAACCAGAACGAAGGCCAGCAUGGCUGGAGCCCAGAGAGCAAGCGAGAGUGGUGCAGGAUGGGAUGGAGAGUGGACAGGGACCAAAUCAGUCAGGGCCCUGUAGGCCAGGGCAUGGGACUUGGGAUUCACAGAGAGCGCACAGGAAGCUUUUAAAGGGUUUUCAAUAGAUCUGGGAAUUCAGAUUUGCUCUUUAGAAAGAUCACUCCUGCUGCUGUUGGGAGACCAGACUGGAAGGGGCAGUGGGUGCCGUGGUCCAGAGGAAAGGCGACGUGGCUUGAGUGGGAUGGUAGUGACGAGGGAAGGAAGAAGUGCAGGAUUCAGGAUACGGUUUCAAAAGUGAGGCCAACAGGAUUGGAUGUGGGCUGCAAGAGAGAAGACCCGAGAGUGACUGGGACACCUGGAUGAAUCUGGGUGCCUUUACUGAGAUGGGGAAUGCUGCGGGAGGAGCAGGUUUAGGGGAGAAAUGGGAGUUUGCUGUUGCUGAGUUUGAGGUGUCUAUAAUUAUCCAAGUGGAGGGGGAGAGCUGUUCUCAUCUCUGUCCCCAGAGGAGGCACAAGAUAGGUGCUUAUUAAAAACAUCUUUAGAUAAAAGCUUGCACAGAUGGCAGAGUUUGAGUCCAGUCUUGAAGCAUGGAUGGGAUUUGGCCUUGAGAUGAAGACAUUUUGGUGCCUGAGCUCAAAACAAAACAAAACCCAAACAGAACAGUUGGAGCACAUGAAGGAACAAGGACAGACUGCGACGUCGCAGUGGCCUGGGGGCGCCUGCUGUUGCUGCUCACCAAGGCUUUUUGCACCUUUGCCUGUAACACUGAGCCGUCCUCUGCAGAGCGUGAGAAGAAAUCAGCUAGAAAGAAAAAUUAUGCUUGUGUUAAGCGGAGGAUUCCAGGGUGUAUUUGUGGGAAGAUUAGCCCUGAGCUAAUAUCUGCUGCCAAUCCCCGUCUUUUUGCUGAGGAAGACUGGCCCUGAGCUAACAUCCAUGCCCAUCUUCCUCUACUUUCUAUGUGGGACGCCUGCCACAACAUGGCCUGACAAGUGGUGCCAUGUCCGCACCUGGGAUCCGAACCAGCGAACCCCGGGCCGCCAAAGCAGAACACGCACACUUAACCACGGC